rnacentral:lncRNA from 1 species
UGGGGAUUUAGCUCAGUGGUAGAGCGCUUACCUAGGAAGCGCAAGGCCCUGGGUUCGGUCCCCAGCUCCGAAAAAAAGAACCAAAAAAAAAAAAAAAAGAAAGAAAGGCAGCGUGCAUGCGCAGUGCAAUAGCUGACACGGAUUAUCAGAACACUGUUAACGGUUUUACUGUAGUGUGCAGCUUGAAUGUCUCUCUCCGUUAUGGACCCAUGAAAGUAUUACUGUAUCUUCUAAGUAUCAUUUUGUGAAUUAAUAUGUGGGUGCAUUUGUAGGCUGUGGAAAACAGUGCUGUUUGUAUGUGUGUAUAUAUAAAGACUUUAUAACACUGUAUGGAUUAAGUUUAAAUAGACAAAAUAAUAUGUUGUUUCUUUCAUGCUGGGAGGACUAAAAUGGCAGCACGACCAGUCCGUUGCAGCCCUGCCCCUCCCUCUAGCUUCCCACACAAAGUGUUGCUAACCACUCCUGCUUCAGACAGUUGCUGCUGCUUUUAAACCCUGAGUAGUGGAUGAAGAACUAACAUCAUUCUUAAAGGGACCUUUCUGAGGAGUGAACUGUAAACUCCAAGACAUGUGGGGAGGGUGGGGCCACCUGCAAAGUGUCCUCCUUGCGGAUGGCCUUUGAAAUUUACCUUGUAAUCACUUUGACCAUGUGUGCCUAUUUGUAAUACAGAUGUGAACUUCUAUUUCCGAGUCAACAGAAUGUUUUAAAACUGAAAUGUUACAUAAAUUCAGAGUAAUCAUUCCCACCCUCUCAUACUCCCAGCUCUUGCCAAAUAUUCCCACUGACACCAGAGGACAACGUGGGGCUCUGACCCCUUCCUUUCUCACCGUCCCUCCCGCUGUAGCUCUGUCACGUGCCUGAGCUCGCCUCAUAUUCUCUGUUGGCUUUUCCUGAGGAAGAAGAGUUUACUAUAGUACUUAGACCGCAGCGUUUCAUAAUGUUUGUCUACCUGCUGCCUUUUUACACCUUUGGCUAUGCGCUAACAUGGAGUAAGACAGAGGAGUGGGUCUGAUCUGUAAGUUACCAUGGGACCAGAAAUGAUGCACAAUGGUGCUUGGCUGCCAUGUUUAGGAAAAGGAAUGGGAACUCUGCUGGGGGUGAUUUAUGUGAUCUCGUGUCAUUAGAGUCACCAAAUGCUGAAUUCUAUCACUGUGUACUGGUGGCCAGGCUCUGAUCUGAUCUGUCAUGUUAACUCCUUAAAGAUAUGUAUGAUUAUGAGAAACAGAAAGCUAAUAAAGUUUUUAACCAAAA